CAAUGGCAACUCUGACGCUGUGCACACGUUGUUCCUGUCCCGCCCACCUCCAUGGAAUACUCGAAAGCAAUGAUGGGGAAUACAAUUGUCUGUGGUAGUUCAGACUAAUCCAUUCUAUUCUGAUGCGCAAUUCAAGUUGAAGCCAUAGGUUUGCCAAAAAAGUUAAAUCCAUUGUUCUGUAUCUCAAACUGUAGCAGCAUUCCUUUUCGAAGUUGGUCAAGAUUAGCUCUUUUAAAAGUUGAACCAAUACCUCUCCAGUUUCCUGAAGCGCAAUGCCUGCGUGUGUGUGUGAACAUGACAUAGUUGACAGUAAACACAUGCAGUGCACUUUGUUUUCUUAUCAUAUAAAUGAGAGCUUGACAGUAGCUCAUGUACACCUCAAAUCAUCAAGUGCUAAGUUCCAAGUCCAGUGAUCUGCUUGAAUCAGACCUCACUGUAUGUUGAAUCAAAUUAAUCUUUCUCUCCGGAGUUUGAUGUACGAUGAUUAUUCUUUUCGAAAACGAUCGCAAGAGGUUCGGAUGUCACUUUCGAAGGUGCCUAUGAACUAUGCAUUAGGAAAUGCCACAUAUAAGUACUAGAUAUGCAUUUCCUUGUUUCUUGGGAGUUAUUGUUAAUGAUCUUUAUUCUCUUUGGAUAUAUGCAUGGCUGAUGAAGGCAUUUGUUUUCUUUCAAGCCAGCGGUACUGAAUCAUGCUUCCUGCUAUUCACAAGGAAGUGGAAAACAGCUGAUGAAUAAUCAGAGUGUUCUAUCUGCUUUUUAUUUCAUCCUUCAUUACGAUGGUGAUAUUCUAAAUCUGGGGCUUUAAGGUAUGGUUUCUUCUUCAACUGUUCCCUUGGAGAAAUGUCUAUUCUAUCUACAACAAUGGUGGCCUCCUUCUUAUCUUGGAGCUAUAUUUUAGUGCCUCUUUGAUCAUUGUCAUUGUGCAAAGCUCUUCAUGUUAUUUAUUUUUGUCUCUUGCAUACAACAAAAAGUAUGUAUACCCAACUUUGAAACCCUCCUGAAAGUUGCAUGGAAUUAUUUACAUCGACACAUGAUGCUCGGACAUGUGAAACUAAUCUGCGUGGAAACUAGCAUUGCCAAUUUGUGGAACUUCAUAUUUCAUAUUAUGGUUCUGAUGGUAUAUAAAUCUAUAUGUCUAGGCAAAUGACCUUGAGAUAUGGCUAAUGUAUUUAUUCAUUAUUUGCACAAUAACUACUCUCCCCAAACAUGUAAGAUCUGAUGUUUGUAUCACAAUAAUAAGAAAGUUUUGAUCUGAGCGACCUUGACGGAUCGAAACAGAUGAAUGUCAUCGUCUAAAUCAUUUUCAAGGUCCUCUGAGAAGAUGAAUGUUCGGUGCUGGUGUGGUGAUGGUGUCGAGGUGGGAGAGGAACAGGGCGAUGAAUUUGAAGGAGGAUGCAGAGGAGGAGGACAACCACUUCGAUCUAGCGAUCACUGUACGUCGCGCUGUCGGCAUGUCGUGCCAGAACUGCUUCCGGGAUGUGAUUACACCACUAGGGCGCCUUCUCUAGGUAAAUGAUGUUAAGAAUCCUCCCACAGACAGCCAGUGUACUUGAUCCAUGAUCAAUUAUGUUGCGCGUCAUUCGUGGAUUUUCUUUUUGUUCCAUCUGUUAGAAGUUGCAAGCUCGACCUGUUUCUUCAUUUUGAUGAUGCUACGCCAGUUGUACUGCAUGGUUCAGUUUAUCAUCUCCUUUGGUGCAUGCAAUAUACAAAUUGAUAGAUAUUGCCGUUGUGGUUUUCUUUACUGUUUCAUAUAUUCUGCCCGCUGAUAAGUUUUGAUCUCAAUGGUGAUGAGUUGGAAGUCUGAAUACGUUCUAUGGUACCGAUUUGGGAUUUUGGGUACAUACUUAUGCCUAUUUUCACCAUACUCAGGUACAUUUUCAUUGUGACAAUCUAUUACUGUUUUGUCUCUUAUUAUAUUCAUGUCCUAUAUGCAAAUAUUUCAUAAAGAACUAAAGUUAUCUGGUCUAUAACAAACAACUGGACUAUGUGUGAAAUGCACAACUUUGGAAACCAUAUUUUAGGUUUUGCUUCCGAAUUGGCCCGCACCUACACGCCCGCCCCCUAGCCUUCCCCGCCCCUGUACUCUAAGCUCAACGCCUACUCCUCGAAUAAGGAGCAGCUGCCUCGUGUGCACCGCGUUCUUGCUUCUUUUGCACUCGAGUUUUCCAGCGUUCGUCAUAUCUAUGUUCAACUAUAUGACACACCAUGACACCAAUAAAUUAGACGAUAGGCAUGUAUACCUAUUACUUCUAUUUUCUAAUUUCAGUACAGUUGAUUUACAGAACUAGAAUUCAAGGAUCCUUGGGUAAGUGCUAUUCCAAAACUGGAGGAAUUCAAGAGUAGUAUGUCCGAGGCAACAUAGAUUAGUAUAUCCCAAGUUCCAUGUCUGUUUAUGAAAUCAUGUUACUAUAAUCUUUCCCUAGCCAUUUUAGUGCCUCUUUUUUUUAUUUGUGCUCCUAAGAGAUGUGAUUGCACCUGAAAUGACAUUCACGUUUUGCUUUCUGGUUAGCCCUUGGUCAGCGUUACAAGACAGGUAGAAAGAAACUUGUGCUGUAUAGAGUUCAUUUAUAGCCAACCACAUCAAUUUUGGAAACAUGUUGUAUAGAGUUAGAGUUCAUUUAUAGCCAACCACAUCAAUUUUGGAAACAUGUUGUAUAGAGUUAGUGUCUCCUAGACAAUAUUUAUCAGCGACUGUCCGCUUUCUUGCAUACAAUUGACACUGUUAUUGUUAGGAUACCAUUAGGCAUUGCCAUGUAGUAUGGAAAAAAAAGAAACGAGCAUACGAGGUUAAUUUUAAUUCCAAUCUAUUAUUUACAGGUCAAGGAUCAAAGUUACAUCCAAUGCAAAACUUUCAAGUACAGGUUGGGCAGAUUCUAAUCUAUUUUACUUUACCAUUUGCUGCUAUAUGAACAUGAAUAAAUUUAAAAGGAUCAAAACCACAUUAUUAUGAUAUCAGUUCUUUAUUUAUAUGAAUAUCGCGGCAUGCCUUAAUGCAAGUGGCUAAAUUAACUUCUUUCCGGUCUGCUUAUAAAAUGAGUGGAUCUGCUUUACUUCUUCUAUUUAUUACAUGGAUCAUUUGCUUGCAUAUAUCUAAUUGCUCAUAUAGUAACCAACCUAUAUUGCUUUGAGGAGACAAAAAGAAUAGUGUUGUACAUAUAUACAAAUUCUCCAGAUCUUUCUAUUUAAAUCUUAACCACUAUUUUUUGAUGACGUUGUUUGUAGUUUACCACUACAACAUUGAUGUUUUACAAUUUACAUCUUUCUUGUAUUCUAUAGAAAGCAACAAUGGAGAAAAUAUAUUGUUUAGAUUGAUUGAUCGGUUAAUUCCGUCGUGUCCUAUUUCAUUUUGGAGGAGAUGAGGUGAGCCUGCCUGGUUCUUCCAGCCGCCCUCCAUACACAAUUAGGUGGGAUGGGAUUAAGUAGCUCCAUUUUUGGCACAAAUAAUCGCUUCCGCUUAUUGAAAUUGGGCACUAACACUUUGAGAACCACAUUUUAUUUAUUUGUUGUUGAUCGUUAUGUCUGACUAUGAGAAUAGGGAAGACCCUACAAGAAAUUUCCCUACUCAGCUACUUGAAGAUCGAAUCAAUUGCACAUGGGACAUCUCAUAUGUACUUUACCAUCUCUAAUUUAAUGUUUCUCUAAGAGAGUGUAUUGUUCUAGCAUUCCAAUUUAUCUCAUAAGGGUGGUGUUCUUUCGGGAGUAUGCCCUCUAAUACUACUUCCAUUAUAAAUCCUUGCAAAGUAUUUUUCAUCCAUCAAGAUUUAAUGUACUUUUUUUUUCUUUAACCAAUGUAGGAGCCAGAACAAGAACUAUCUUGCCAAAGAUCUGCUAUGGUAGAAAAUGGCACUGUUGUAGGAGGUUUAGUAGGUGGUUUGGUGUCACCUAAAUUAUUCUGAUUUUGGUUGUCAAUCAUAAAAUCUUUUCGAUAAAUAUAUUGUCAGAUGACUCAAGCAUUGUAACUCUGAAAUACCUUUAAUAUCCAA